GCAGUGCCGGGUAGCUAAGUAUGGACGAGAUAACUGCUGAAAGCAUCUAAGCGGGAAACUCACCUCAAAACUAGUUCUUCCUAUAGAGCCGUGGUAGACNACCACGUUGAUAGGCUGGGUGUGGAAGCGUAGCAAUACGUGUAGCUGACCAGUACUAAUAGCUCAAUUGGCUUGAUUUAUG
rnacentral:rRNA from 1 species